UACGAAGGGUGCAAACGUUGCUCGGAAUCAUUGGGCGUAAAGCGCGUGUAGGCGGCCCGGUAAGUCCGCUGUGAAAGUCCAGGGCUCAACCCUGGGAUGCCGGUGGAUACUGUCGGGCUCGAGUCCGGAAGAGGCGAGUGGAAUUCCUGGUGUAGCGGUGGAAUGCGCAGAUAUCAGGAGGAACACCAAUAGCGAAGGCAGCUCGCUGGGACGUUACUGACACUGAGGCGCGAAAGCGUGGGGAGCGAACAGG
rnacentral:rRNA from 1 species